AAUCACCUCCUUUGUGCCAGAGUCUUUCAUAUACAUUAUCUCACUGAAUUACUUACAAGAUUCUUAUGAAGUAGAUUAGUUCUCACAUUUUAAUGGACGUGUGAAUCACCUGGGGAUCUUGUUAAAAUGCAGAUUCUGAUUUUGCAAGUCUGAGAUGGGCUCAACAUUAUGCAUCUCCAAAAAGCUUCCAGCCAGCACAGUGGCCCACGCCUGUAAUCCCAGCAUUUUGGGAGGCUGAGGCUGGUGAACAUUGUCACCAUAAAGAAGUGAUAAAUGUUGAAAGUGAUGGAUAUGAUUUAUUGCCAAACCCUGCGCACUCCAUAUUGGCAUCGAGGACAGUGGUCCUUAUCAGGCCCAACCCAAUGCCAUCCUUGAAAAGGUGUUCAUAUCUAUUACCAAGUAUCCUGAGAAGAAAAGGCUGGAGGGCCUGUCAAAGCAGCUGGAUUGGAAUGUCCGAAAAAUCCAAUGUUGGUUUCGCCAUCGGAGGAAUCAGGACAAGCCCCCAACGCUUACUAAAUUCUGUGAAAGCAUGUGGAGAUUCACAUUUUAUUUAUGUAUAUUC
rnacentral:sRNA from 1 species